rnacentral:rRNA from 1 species
AACGAACGCUGGCGGCAUGCCUAACACAUGCAAGUCGAACGGUAACAGGUCUUCGGAUGCUGACGAGUGGCGAACGGGUGAGUAAUACAUCGGAACGUGCCUAGUAGUGGGGGAUAACUACUCGAAAGAGUGGCUAAUACCGCAUGAGAUCUACGGAUGAAAGCAGGGGAUCGCAAGACCUUGUGCUACUAGAGCGGCCGAUGGCAGAUUAGGUAGUGGGUGGGAUAAAAGCUUAGCAAGCCGACGAUCUGUAGCUGGUCUGAGAGGACGAACAGCCACACUGGGACUGAGACACGGCCCAGACUCCUACGGGAGGCAGCAGUGGGGAAUUUUGGACAAUGGGCGCAAGCCUGAUCCAGCAAUGCCGCGUGCAGGAUGAAGGCCUUCGGGUUGUAAACUGCUUUUGUACGGAACGAAAAGCCCUGGGUUAAUACCCUGGGGUCAUGACGGUACCGUAAGAAUAAGCACCGGCUAACUACGUGCCAGCAGCCGCCGCAGUAA